AAGAAAAAUAAGCUAAUUUUAAGCUAUUGGACUCAUAAUUCAAUUAUAGGAACGCCCUUUUUUCU
rnacentral:tRNA from 1 species